GGAAAGGGAAAGGAAAAGGAAAAGGAAAAGGAAAAGGAAAAGGAAAAGGAAAAGGAAAAGGAAAAGGAAAAGGAAAAGGAAAAAAAAGAAAAAGAGAAAGAAAAAGAGCCUGUUAAAUCAAAACUCAUUCCCUUGGUCUUUCUAGUAAUGUACACUGUGUAAUAAUUCAGUGUAUGAAACAUUCAGCGCCCUCAAUGCUAGCAAUAUUCUUGAAAGGAAGAAAGGAGUUUGUUUUGACUGUACUAUAUCAGAUGUCCUUCCUAAGACUUUGUCUCUUUCUUUAUCUGUCUUUUUUCCCCCAUUGCCACUGCUCUAUUUGCUCUGGCCAACAACCACACAUGUAGCCCUGGUCUGAGUUAGGGUUCCAGUACAUUGGCUCACCUCUGCCUUCUUAGUCCAGCUCCUACCACGUGCCAGGUAGUACUACAAUCUGCUUUGAAACUCACAUACUUCAGUGUUUCCAUUCCACUGCAAAUUGAGGGUGUUAUUUGAUUCUGCAAAAACAAAUAUUACAAAGGUGUUGCCUCUUGAAGUUUUGGAACUUCUGUCACCAAUGCACAAGGGUCUGUAAUUACAGCAAUGUACCCCUCCAUCCUCCACAGCUGCCUCCAGUAGUGUUCCCCCUCAUUAGAAAUCUAUCCUAUAAUUUCGGAUUAGAACUGGAACAUAAGGUAGUAAUUGGCCCUUUCUGUUCUAGUCUUUGCAGAUUUUACAUUGUCAAGAUGAGGCAUUUGUUGUUCUUAAACCUUUCCACCCCUUGGCAAUAGGUCUUGAACUUCAUUUUGCUUUGCUUCGCCUACAUUGGCAGUUGCCCUGGUUCUGUUGCUGUGAGAGCUGGCUGCAGACAGCUUUUCUUCAGGAAGAGCAAGCCUCAAUUCUCUUGGUAAUAGUACAGCCACUGAUUUAUUUAUUUUUUCUCACCACUUGACGUUCAGCUUUUUGCUACACUGGUGACCUGCGUCACUUUCCCAUUGCUACUCUGGCUGUGAAAAUCAUAGAAGAAAGUGAUGUGAAAUUAUAGGCUUUGUCAGUGCCCUGUUUUAAAUAUCUUCUUUCUGGAAAAAGGAACAAGGAUGAUUUUGAUGAACGUUGAUCCCACUGCAGACGUCAAAUAAAUACUUCAGGCACUGGUGACUGAGAAGGGUCAACUUCUCAUUGAUGGAGCACCUGCGACACAAGCAAACCUGCUUCAAACUACAGCGCCUUCUGCAGUUACACGUGAAGACUGAAAGAAGUACGAGGAAAGCGCUGUUUUUCGCUACGGUGGGUAUUUUAAAGUGUUUUAACAAGCCGUUUACUGUUCUGACCUAGAUAGCGACAAUGCCCUUUCAUGUAGAAAAAAUUACACGAAGACAUCCCCGCCACACGACAGUGACGGAGGCAACGGACAGAGCAGGGCGGCUCUGCCCAUACAGAUACCUCCCGCCCCCACAGCCGCCACGUCACGUCACACCUCCCCCCCGUUCC
rnacentral:lncRNA from 1 species